UGUGUAGGCGGCUCCUUAAGUUUGGUGUGAAAUCUCCCGGCUCAACUGGGAGGGUGCGCCGAAUACUGAAGGGCUAGAGUGCGGGAGAGGAGAGUGGAAUUCCUGGUGUAGCGGUGAAAUGCGUAGAUAUCAGGAGGAACACCGGUGGUGUAGACGGCUCUCUGGACCGUAACUGACGCUGAGACACGAAAGCGUGGGUAGCAAACAGGAUUAGAUACCCUGGUAGUCCACGCCCUAAACGAUGCAUAUUUGGUGUGGGUCAUUCAGUUGAUCUGUGCCGGAGCUAACGCGUUAAAUAUGCCGCCUGGGGAGUACAGUCGCAAGGCUGAA
rnacentral:rRNA from 1 species